rnacentral:rRNA from 1 species
UGGGGAAUAUUGCACAAUGGGCGCAAGCCUGAUGCAGCCAUGCCGCGUGUGUGAAGAAGGCCUUCGGGUUGUAAAGCACUUUCAGCGGGGAGGAAGGCGAUAAGGUUAAUAACCUCAUCGAUUGACGUUACCCGCAGAAGAAGCACCGGCUAACUCCGUGCCAGCAGCCGCGGAAAUACGGAGGGUGCAAGCGUUAAUCGGAAUUACUGGGCGUAAAGCGCACGCAGGCGGUCUGUCAAGUCGGAUGUGAAAUCCCCGGGCGCAACCUGGGAACUGCAUUCGAAACUGGCAGGCUAGAGUCUUGUAGAGGGGGGUAGAAUUCCAUGUGUAGCGGUGAAAUGCGUAGAGAUGUGGAGGGAUACCGGUGGCGAAGGCGGCCCCCUGGACAAAGACUGACGCUCAGGUGCGAAAGCGUGGGGAGCAAACAGG